ACGUAGGACCCGAGCGUUGUCCGGAUUUACUGGGUAUAAAGGGUGCGUAGGCGGUCUUGUGCGUCAGAGGUGAAAUCUCCGGGCUUAACCCGGAGGGUGCCUUUGAAACGGCAGGACUUGAGUGCGGGAGAGGGUGAUGGAAUUCCUGGUGUAGCGGUGAAAUGCGUAGAUAUCAGGAGGAACACCGGUGGCGAAGGCGGUCACCUGGCCCGUAACUGACGCUGAGGCACGAAAGCGUGGGGAUCAAACAGGAUUAGAUACCCUGGUAGUCCACGCCCUAAACGAUGUAUGCUUGGUGUUGGGUCCGCAAGGACUCAGUGCCGUAGGGAAUCUGAUAAGCAUACCACCUGGGGAGUACGAUCGCAAGGUUG
rnacentral:rRNA from 1 species